CUGCUGUUGCUGCGUUGUGUGUUCAAUAUGAAGCUGAUUUUAGACCAAACAUGAGCAUUGUAGUCAAAGCUCUUCAACCUUUGUUGACGGCACGACAGGGACCUCCUGGUGAAACACCAAAUUAAUCUCUGUCUCUGUCUCUGCCUCUCUCUCUCUCUGAGUAUGUGCGCGAGUGUCAUGCAAAAAUUAUAAGAGAUUGCUACAGGAGGCGAUGGUAAAUUGUUCGAACAUGAUUUGUGCCCAGUGUUUACAUUAUAUUCAUUUUGUUCAUAAUUCAUGAGGUUCUUUUUAACGUUUCCACGUUUCAUCUAUUCUUUUUAGUGUUACUUGAUUUCUUGUUUUACAUUAUGUUUUCCAUUUUUUGGAUUAAUUCUCUUAUUAUUCUUUUUUUUUUCAUCUAACUAGAGUGUGGCCAUUAAGAAAUUGUUUAUGUUCUAAAUUUAAAACUAAGAAAUAGAAGUAAAUAUUUUUGAGGAUAGCAUCACUCAUGACUGAGAAAACAAACGUGCUUACAUAGACAUAAGAAGUUAGCAUUCAAAGAAAGGCAUGUAAUGUUAUUUUUAUUUUUAUUAAGUAUUAUUAUCUAUGAUUUGAAAAAUUUGUUUAACAAUUUGCAAUAUCUACAUUUGAUAACAUAUUUGCUUGUUAUUAAAUUAAUUUGUAUUCUACACGGGGUGACAGAUUUGAUAGUUGAUUUAUUUUUUAGAUUUUUUUGUAUAUAUAACAUGGUUGAUGGUCAUAGUAUAAACAAAUUAUAGAAUAAUAUAUAUUUUAGUGUGUUAUAAAAAUUAUUAAAACUUUAUGGUACAUGUUAUGAUAAAUAAGUUUACACUUAUUACUGCACUUAUAACAGCAGCAAACUAUUAAUUGUAGUAAAAUUAGCAUUAUCUGUGCGUUAUUGAGCUAUUCUUUAUUGACUUAUUCAUUUUAACAUUUUAAUCCAACUCAAAAGUGGUUUUUUUUUAUAAAUGUUUUAAUCAGUAAAUAUUUUAUUGGCCAAAAUAUUUUUUUUUGGUUAUCCACAGUAUUUCCUAAUCUGACAGACUAAAGACUAAUCUGUCGCGGAUCGGAAUUCUAUUUAAGGAUUUGUCGCUGGGUAAUGAGUUGCUGAAUGCAUAAAAAAUUGUAUAUAUAAAAUUCUAUAUGUUUGUGUCAGCCCCACAGUAAACAAAAGAAAAAGUAAACAACAGUGAAAAGAAAAAAGGAAGAAAAUGCAGAGUUUGAACCUCUUUACUGUAAUCUAUUGUACUCUUUUCCAAUAAAUUUUGAAUGUAGGCUAUGCAGCUUAUCAUAGCAACUUGUAUUUCAGGCUACACCAAGACUUAGCGAGGAUAAAGUCAAGCAGUGUGUUGAUCCGAAACUUGGAGCAGAAUAUCCACCCAAAGCAAUUGCUAAGGUGUUAAUCACUUAAUCUAUUUAAGUAUAUCUUUCUCUUCCUUUUCACCUUUAUAUGCCCUUUCUGAGCUAGGGUGGUGUUGAUGUUUGUGGAAGUGUUUUAUGACAUAUGUUUACUUGAAAUAUAUGUUUAUGAAUUCGGAAACUAUGCAAAAGAAGCUUGUUAGAGGCAGUUACAGAAUUAUUUUAUUGUUGCUGAAGUAGAGCAGAUCUAGCUAUUCUGCUUUUGCCCAAAAUUUGAAUAUAAAAUUUUGUUAUGAUCUCUUUUAGGGGGAAAUUUGUUGAAUAUAAAUCAAUAUAUACGUAGUUUAGUUUUAAGAUUCAUCAUCAGGGGUAUUUAUUACACUAGAAGAAGACAUGUGCCCUCCAACUAUUUUACACAAGAAAAUAUUUAUGUAUAACAGCAUGGUGCUUGUCUCAUUGUAGAUGGCUGCUGUUGCUGCGUUGUGUGUUCAAUAUGAAGCUGAUUUUAGACCAAACAUGAGCAUUGUAGUCAAAGCUCUUCAACCUUUGUUGACGGCACGACAGGGACCUCCUGGUGAAACACCAAAUUAAUCUCUGUCUCUGUCUCUGCCUCUCUCUCUCUCUGAGUAUGUGCGCGAGUGUCAUGCAAAAAUUAUAAGAGAUUGCUACAGGAGGCGAUGGUAAAUUGUUCGAACAUGAUUUGUGCCCAG
rnacentral:lncRNA from 1 species